CACCUUUUUGAUUGGAGGCUAAUAUUAUUCACAUCUAGUAGUACUUUCAAUGCCUUAUAUGAAUGAUCAUGACCUCUGCAGUCAGUAACUGUUUUUAUUCCUCUCCAUGAAACUACUUUAUUGCGGCCUGUCAACAUCACUCAACUAAAAUCUUGAAGGGUUGAAAUCCUUAGGACAAAAAGACAGGAACAAUAUUUAGUUUAUUUGUAUUUUUACUAAUUUUGGCACACAUUACCACCAUUUUAGCAACCAACUCAUUACUCUUGGAUGUUGAAAAAAAUUCAUGCUGAAGAUUUGUUUAAUGUACAAACUUAAGGUGACCAAGGACAACACUGUGAAGCUUGCUGACGUUGGACUGACCAAACGAGAGAAGAUCACAGGUACACCAACUGGGACACCCCUUUAUGCUGCUCCUGAAGUAAAGGAACGUAAAGUGUACGACAAGAGUGCAGACAUCUACAGCCUGGGGCUCAUCCUGUGGGAGAUGUGGUAUGGGGUAACCCUGUAUGGACUGAAGGAUGAAGUCUACUCCAAAAGGCUUGAAGAGGACUUGAAGAGAGGGUGGGACAUACGAAUGCCAUGGUGGGAAGGUACAGUCCCACCCAUCCCUGAGUGGACCAGGCUCAUCCAUGACUGUCUGAAGAAGGAUCCAAAGAGAAGACCAAAGAUACAGGAGUGUCUGGACAGGAUAUCAGCUAUGAAGGUCUAGUAAAAACUGGGAACAACACCUAAAUAUCUAAGCAGAUAUUGGGAGGGAAGAUCAUUGAUAUACCGGUACUGUUUUUUUUUUAACCGGCCACUUUUGCUGGCAUAGUGGAAUGUCUAAUCUCUGCAAACCCAAAGAAGUACUAGUAGGAAUUUCAAAACAUUACAAUCUUUCCUAGGUCCUCCUAACAUCUGCUUGGAUAUUAAAUGGAUUCUGGAAAUGAGACCGUAAGUCCAUCGAAGUCAUAAUGAAAUGUACAUUGUGUCAAUCACUAGGUAAGGCCUUAUGAACGUAACUUUCUGGAUAUCCAAGAAUGUGUACCUUAACUUACAAAAGGCAAAGACAGUAUAUAAAUUGAAUUGUAAAAAGAUGUGUACAUGCAUAUGUUUGUUGAAUACUACACAUAAUCAGAAAACGUUGUACUUUGGUGACAUGUUCAUAAGCUUAGUUGAAAAGAGUUGCUAUCGGAUGUAAUGUUGUAAUGAUACUGUGUAGCUGAGUCUCAUUGUUGUACAUAUGCUAAAUGGUAGAUUGAAAUCAUAACUCUAAUAAGCCUUGUAUCUGUAGUAUUCUUUUUACAGGACUCAUUUAAAAAUUUGGUACAUAAGAAAGAAUAACAUAAAAGGUAUGACAUCUGACCAUGAGAACAAAGUUCAGAUCAGGGUAGUGAGUUGCAGUUAGUACUGGGUAGUGAACAUCGAACACUUGAUUCGAUAGAAUUUGACAACAUUGAAAAAAGUAUCAUAAAGAUAAAAGCAGCCAAAGAUUUUCUCAGAUUACAAUGCCCACUGCUAAUCAUAACAAGAAUACAUUGUACAAUAUACGUAUAAACUAUUAAGUAUGUAAUCAGAUACAAUUGGUCAUUUCAGUCACACUGGGGCUGCAAAUUGCACUACCUUGUCAAGUUUAAGUUGCUCAUAUUAUAUUUUAGUUGCAUU